CACACGACUCUCGGCAACGGAUAUCUCGGCUCUCGCAUCGAUGAAGAACGUAACGAAAUGCGAUACCUGGUGUGAAUUGCAGAAUCCCGCGAACCAUCGAGUCUUUGAACGCAAGUUGCGCCCGAGGCCACUCGGCCGAGGGCACGCCUGCCUGGGCGUCACGC
rnacentral:rRNA from 1 species